AUUGGACGAGCUUCUGGGAAUGAAUUCUGCAGCAUUCCAGUAUCUUCUUCUCUCAACAAUUAAAGCCUGACUUAAGAGUUUUAAAGUAAGCAAACUAACCAGUUCUGUAGUUACUACUCAUGUUACUUUUGUCCUUCAAUAUGUUCCUUGCACUAACAAACCCCAUGAAUCAGCCUAGCUCCACCAUGGUGCCACAUAAAAACAUUAUUAUUUAAGGUAUAUCAAUCAUUUCAUUCUCCUAGAGGACUGAGCCUAUACCUGAAUGUUUGCAUUUAGGCACAAGACUCUCAUCUAAUUCACCCGACCUGCGUUUUUCUUACAGGGGGCUAAAUUUGAAGUGCAUAUAUUCUAUGUCACUUCUACUUAAUCAUUAAGCCUUUACUCAUUUGAUGGAUUUUUCAUAGUUCUAUCUUUUGGUCGACUUCCUCGCUAAUUUCGUCAAUUAACAUAAAUAUCAUUUGAAAACAUAGUAAUUUUCUUAUACGAGUUACAUUAAAGAUAAUUUUCUGGUAACAAUAUCCCUAUCAUCCUCUUUCAGCAAUUAGGCUAGCUUUUCUUAGAUACAUACAUCCCAUUGAAUCCUGAAGACCUUUGAAAGUUAUUGCUUGUUCUGAUGUUUCAUUUACUUUGAAAGAGGAGACAAAUGUCAAGAUCCUUCUUAAACUCCUGUAUUUUCUUUGAAAGAUGACAGACUGAUGACUUUUCACAGUCAAAACUGGUAACACAAAUCCUUGGGUUGCAUAUGAUUCCAGUGUUAUAUGAAAUAUGUGUUUUCUGACUCAUGCCAAUGCCAAUACCUCCCCCCCCCCCCNNNNNNNNNNNNNNNNNNNNCAAAAAAAAAAAAUACACACAAAAAAAAACCAAAGGGAAAAAAUGAGAGGAAAAGAUCAGAUCUCUGUAUUCGUCCAUUAUCCCAAGAUGCUUAUCCCAAGAUGCUUAACAUAGUGCAUGUCUACUGCGUCCGUGUUCUCCAACAGAGACAAAACAAGAAGGAAUGCAGUUUUAACACAGAAUAGAUAUGCUACUAUAGCUCUAAGAUUGCGUACCAGCUUCUGUUCCAAACUACAUAUCCUAUGAUUUUGCUCUUCCUUAGAAGCUAUUCUUCCAUUCCUUGAAGCAGCUGUAAUCAAAAUAUAUAGUUGAAGUGAACCAAAAUUCCAUCAACAGUGACAUCAAUUAGCAGAUACUACAAGAAUAUGAAGUACCUGAACUAUAAUAUCAUGAUAGACAGCCAAGUCAGAUGAGAUUUCUUCAUUCUUUUCCUCUCUCAGUGUUUAUGUUUUCUGAAAAGUUUCUUGCCCAAUCUUUACAUCAUUUAUAGCGGCAUUCGUAACUGCAUUAGUGCUCUCCUCUGCACGCCCACUUAUAGAGGCCCCUGAGCGUUCAUCAUAUUGGAUAGCCAAUUCUCUAAUUUCCAUGUGUAUAAGAUCCUUAUCAUAUAAUUCAACUUGAUUAUCUAAUGGUGCCUCCAGCUGCUGAUUACCCAUAGUUUGCUUUGUUGCAUCACCUCUUGUUCAUCAUCUUUUUGAAUUUGUGCUAGCCUAUUCACAACAUUGAACUUCCCAGCUGACUGGAAUUGUACAAUAUCAGCUAUAACUGCACUUGCACGAUUCACAUUGACCAUUUGUUUUACUCAUUCACAUUGCAAAAACUGUUGAUCAGUCACAAUUUCUUUUGCUGCACCAACUCCUUGCUUACCAAGCUUUUAUGCUAAAUCAUUAAAAAUUUGCCCAGCUCUUUUAGCAAUUAAAUAAUCCCUUGCAUCACCUUGUAGUUUUUCCAUACCUGGACCAUCUUCCUCGAGCAAAACAUGAACAGGUGCUGCCCAUGUUACUUCCUCUGCCUCCGCCUAUGUUUCUGCUUGUUUUUUCAUAAUUCGACAUGCCCUUUUGUCACGUCCUUGAUGCUUGAAAUAUGUGCAGUAUUUGGAGAGAUUAUCGUACACUACUUCUUGAUAGAACACAACAGUCUUACCUGUAAUUCGAUAAAAAAUCUGAAGCUUAACCUUUUUAGGAUGUUUAUCCAAAGGAUCAAUUAUAACCUUAACUCUAGCCGCACUAAGUCUCGUUCUAUCCCGUGUCGCCUUGUCGAUAUUAGUUGUAUAGCACUAAGCACAUUGACGACAAAAAUGACAACCUUCAACUAAUGGCAUGAGACAGUUCUUAGAUUUGUACGUCCAAUAAGUGGAUCAAGCAAGCACUUCAUGAUUCAGAACUAAUGAUGCAGACUCAUGGUAGAUAAAAGAGUUCUUCUCCUGCUUUGUCCAGUCCUAGCAAUGCUACUGCUGAUUUAUCAACUGGUUCAACAGCAGCUCGAUCACCAGCUGCUGUUUUUCUUGAAUGUUUUCAAAUCUGUUGCCAGCAGCUAGCAUUAGAGAAAAUAAAAUCUAUAUGUUUCUGCAGUUUUUGGUGACUGUUUUCAGCUGAAAUUUUCUGCACUUUGUGGUUAUUCUACUUGAUGGUUAUUGUUCUGUUAAUAGCGAUAUUUUUUCUGUUUAUAAAUCGUGACAGUGAUGGAAUUUUGAAGAUGUUUUUCCGUAUUGUAUUUUAUCUUCUGAUACAAUUAUUUUAUUAUUUCAUGUCAUACAGUUUGAUGCUCGAUAAUUCAGCUAGUGGAAGAUUUCAUAAUGAUGAAAAGUUGCGAAAAUCGUUUGAAGACUAUCAUUCGUUUGGAUUAGUUAUAUAAUGACAUCAGCUAUUUAGUUUAAACAAUAUAAGUUUAGUUAUUGUGACAUUAAUAUUUUUGUUUGGUGCUUCCUUUAAUUUUCUAAGAUUUA
rnacentral:lncRNA from 1 species